GGUGGCCACCGCUUCUUGUGGUGAUGUUGAUUUAGCACCAAAGUCUGGAGACACUUCUUUGACCCCUAUCCUUUUUAACCAACUUUUAUAAUUAAUGUAACUGGACAUAUAUUGUGAUCGAUGACCAGAGAUGUGUUUUCCAGGAUUCAUGAAGAAACAUUCUAAAGGUGUUCGUGUGGACCAAAGUUCCCAUUAGGGCGACCUUCCAACCUUUCUAUCAGAUGAUCUUGCACUGCUUCAGUUUAGGCCUUUAGGCCUGCAUAAGAAAAAGGAACAACUAUUGUAUGCCAUUUACUUUAUAACUACUUGGACUUUAUGGCUGCAUCGCAACAAAAAACUUUUCAAUGGGAAGAGUUAGGUGGAAGAAAUCAAGGUUGUGACCUUCUGGCGUGUAACAAGGAGGCUCAAGUCUUGACAAUUGGAGGAGGUUCAAGAAUUUAGUCUUGGUUAGUUUUUUGGCGUGCUGUAUUUCAUUCUGUACUGUUGUGGGAGUAUUAGGGCUGUUUAGCUGCUUGCUAAAGUCCCAGUUUGUAUUAUGUUCUAUUUUAUCACAGAGGAGAUCUCUCAUCUUACUCUAAAUCUAAUGUUAAAUUGUAGCUGGAUCAGGACUUGAUCCCCCA
rnacentral:lncRNA from 1 species